rnacentral:rRNA from 1 species
UCCGGUGGCAAUAGCGGAGGUUAAAAACCCGUUCCCAUACCGAACACGGAAGUGAAGCCCUCCAGCGCCGAUGGUACUGAUUA